UCCGGCCGGUGCUGAGCAACCAAGCUCAUGCGCCAUAGCUCUUCAGCUCGGGAAAGCUGUAUUUAGCAGGUUUCCGGAAGUUGCAGGACGGUCUGUGAGGCGGUCCUGGUCCUGCCUCGCUGCCUUCAGUUCUUAGUGUCUGGGUCCCCGCCCUCCAGCCGCCUUUAAGUCCUGCCUGGGUCUUCGCCCUUGCCUCAGAACCGCGAAGAAAGGAAGCUCGCGUGUUUGCUAGAAAACCUAGUUGAGAGUGCGAGACAGAGAACGUUCAGCACCUUUGUUCCUCCCGAACCUUCGGGACAGACGCAGGGUUCUGAGGGCAGAGAUUCCCCCUCGUCUUGGCCCCACAGCCCGGGCUGGGCACUAAACUCGGGCCGCGGCGGGGCGAGCGAGGCGGGCUCCGGAGGAAGCUGACGCCUGAUGAUGGCUCAGUCCAACAUGCUCCCCGUGGCUGAUGUGUUGAGUCAAGAUGAACUGCGCAAAAAGCUAUACCAGACGUUUAAGGAUCGGGGUAUACUGGAUAGACUCAAGACACAACUUCGAAACCAGCUGAUUCAUGAGUUGAUGCACCCUGUAUUGAGUGGAGAACUGCAACCUCGGUCCAUUUUGGUAGAAGGGAGCUCCCUCUUAAUAGGCGCCUCUAACUCUUUAGUGGCAGAUCACUUACAAAGAUGUGGCUAUGAAUAUUCACUUUCUGUUUUCUUUCCAGAAAGUGGUUUGGCAAAAGAAAAGGUAUUUACUAUGCAGGAUCUAUUACAACUCAUUAAAAUCAACCCUACUUCCAGUCUCUACAAAUCACUGGUUUCAGGAUCUGAUAAAGAAAAUCAAAAAGGUUUUCUUAUGCAUUUUUUAAAAGAAUUGGCAGAAUAUCAUCAAGCUAAAGAGAGUUGUAAUAUGGAAACUCAGACAAGUUCGACAUUUAACAGAGAUUCUCUGGCUGAGAAGCUUCAGCUUAUUGAUGAUCAGUUUGCAGAUGCUUACCCUCAGCGUAUCAAGUUCGAAUCUUUAGAAAUAAAGCUAAAUGAAUAUAAGAGAGAAAUAGAAGAGCAACUUCGGGCAGAAAUGUGUCAAAAGUUGAAGUUUUUUAAAGAUACCGAGAUAGCAAAAAUUAAAAUGGAAGCAAAAAAAAAGUAUGAAAAGGAAUUAGCCAUGUUCCAGAAUGAUUUUGAGAAAGCUUGUCAAGCAAAAUCUGAAGCCCUCGUUCUUCGAGAAAAGAGUACCCUUGAAAGAAUUCAAAAGCACCAAGAGAUUGAAACAAAAGAAAUUUAUGCUCAAAGGCAACUUUUACUAAAAGAUAUGGAUUUGCUAAGAGGAAGAGAAGCAGAGCUGAAGCAAAGAGUUGAAGCUUUUGAAUUGAACCAGAAGCUCCAGGAAGAAAAACAUAAAAGCAUAACUGAGGCACUUAGGAGACGGGAGCAGAAUAUAAAGAGUUUUGAGGAGACCUAUGACCGAAAGCUCAAGAAUGAACUUCUGAAGUAUCAACUUGAACUGAAGGAUGACUACAUCAUUAGAACUAAUCGACUGAUUGAAGAUGAAAGGAAGAAUAAAGAAAAAGCUGUUCAUUUGCAAGAGGAGCUCAUAGCUGUUAAUUCAAAAAAGGAGGAACUCAAUCAAUCUGUAAAUCGUGUGAAAGAACUUGAGCUUGAAUUAGAGUCUGUCAAAGCCCAGUCUUUGGCAAUAACAAAACAAAACCAUAUGCUGAAUGAAAAGGUUAAAGAGAUGAGUGAUUAUUCACUACUAAAAGAAGAGAAACUGGAGCUUCUGGCACAAAAUAAAUUACUUAAACAACAACUGGAAGAGAGUAGAAAUGAAAACUUGCGUCUCCUAAACCGCCUAGCUCAGCCGGCUCCUGAACUUGCAGUCUUUCAGAAAGAACUACGGAAAGCCGAAAAGGCUAUAGUGGUUGAGCAUGAGGAGUUCGAAAGCCGCAGACAAGCUCUGCACAAACAACUGCAAGAUGAAAUUGAGCAUUCUGCACAGCUGAAGGCCCAGAUUCUAGGUUACAAAGCUUCUGUAAAGAGGUUAACUACUCAGGUUGCCGAUUUAAAAUUGCAACUGAAGCAAACUCAGACAGCCCUAGAGAAUGAAGUGUACUGCAAUCCAAAGCAGUCUGUGAUCGAUCGUUCUGUCAAUGGAUUAAUAAAUGGCAAUGUGGUGCCUUGCAAUGGUGAGAUAAGUGGGGAUUUCUUGAACAAUCCUUUUAAACAGGAAAACGUUCUAGCACGUAUGGUUGCAUCAAGGAUCACAAAUUAUCCAAAUGCAUGGGUGGAAGGUAGUUCCCCUGAUUCUGACCUUGAGUUUGUAGCCAAUACUAAGGCAAGGGUCAAAGAGCUUCAGCAAGAGGCCGAACGCUUGGAAAAGGCUUUCAGAAGUUACCAUCGGAGAGUCAUUAAAAACUCUGCCAAAAGCCCACUAGCAGCAAAGAGCCCACCAUCUCUGCACUUGCUGGAAGCCUUCAAAAACAUUACUUCCAGUUCCCCGGAAAGACAUAUUUUUGGAGAGGACAGAGUUGUCUCUGAGCAGCCUCAAGUGGGCACACUUGAAGAAAGGAAUGACAUCUUGGAAGCACUGACAGGCAGUGCAGCCUCGAGGCUCCGCGGGGGCACUUCCUCCAGACGCCUCUCCUCCACACCCCUUCCAAAAGCAAAAAGAAGCCUCGAAAGUGAAAUGUAUCUGGAAGGUCUGGGCAGAUCACACGUUGCUUCCCCCAGUCCUUGUCCUAACAGAAUGCCCCUACCAUCACCCACUGAGUCUAGGCACAGCCUCUCCAUCCCUCCCGUCUCCAGCCCUCCGGAGCAGAAAGUGGGUCUUUAUCGAAGACAAACUGAACUUCAAGACAAAAGUGAAUUUUCAGAUGUGGACAAGCUAGCUUUUAAGGAUAAUGAGGAGUUUGAAUCAUCUUUUGAAUCUGCAGGGAACGUGCCAAGGCAGUUGGAAAUGGGCGGGCUUUCUCCUGCCGGGGAUAUGCCUCAUGUGGACGCUGCUGCAGCUGCUGUGCCCCUCUCAUAUCAGCACCCAAGUGUAGAUCAGAAACAAAUUGAAGAACAAAAGGAAGAAGAAAAAAUACGGGAACAGCAAGUGAAAGAACGAAGGCAGAGAGAAGAAAGAAGGCAGAGUAACCUACAAGAAGUUUUAGAAAGGGAACGAAGAGAACUAGAAAAACUGUAUCAGGAAAGGAGGAUGAUUGAAGAAUCACUGAAGAUUGAAAUAGAAAAUGAAUUAGAAAUGGAAAAUGAAUUAGAAAUGAGUAAUCAAGAAAUAAAAGACAAAUCUGCUCACAGUGAAAAUCCUUUAGAGAAAUACAUGAAAAUCAUCCAGCAGGAGCAAGACCAGGAGUUGGCAGAUAAGAGCUCAAAAAAGAUGGUCCAAGAAGGCUCCCUAGUGGACACGCUGCAAUCUAGUGACAAAGUCGAAAGGUGACUAAGAGUGGGAUUAGUGACCUUAUAAAAGGGCUCAAUGGAACUAGCUAGGCCCUUUUGCCCUUCCACCAUUUGAAGACACUGCAUUGAUCCCCUCUGGAGAACACAGCAACAAGGCACCAUCUUGGAAGCAGAGACCGGACCUUCACCAGACAUCGAACCUGCCAGUGCCUUCCUUGAUCUUGGACUUCCCAGCCUCUAAAACUCACUUGUUUUCAUUUUCAUCAUUGAAACUGGUUAUCAGGCAAUCAAAAAUAACAGAAAAUGAGCAGUGGUCCAGCAUUCGCUAAUUCGGUGCUUGAGGUGACUUUAUGGAACAUAGCUACCCUGUAUGAGAGUGACCAUAUAAAUAGUCCAAAUUACACCACCUACAAUCGGUGCCAAGGCAACCAACUAAUACUUCCUGUAAACUACAUGUGGUGUUCUACUUUGAAAAUCUUUCUGAAGAGAUGUUCUCCAGAGCAGAGCCACAUAUUUUUCCCGGGAAAGCAUUCCAAGGAAUGAUACCUGUAAAAUGAACCCCAAUAGGAUGUUAGUACAAACUAUAGUGCCUCAUGUUCUUAAUAGACCCCACCACUUUGGAUGCCAGUUACAGUGUAAUUGUAGGCUAUGUUCUUCAUUAAGAAUUGAUGGAUCUGCUGUCUGCAGAACAAGCAUUUUGGAAUAAAUAGCCCCAUUUGAACAACAGGCCAAAAGCAAAGCCAACUAGUCCAUAAGAGAUUUAAACAGCCUAUUUUUUUCCCCUACAAAUUGUGCUUUAUUCAGUGAGGGUUCACAUUUGGAAGUUCAUGUUUGUAAAGAUUAAUUUUCAAAGCCAGGCUUUCCCUAUAGUUACUACAGGACAACCCCCUCAUAAAGCAUUUUAUCACAUUGAGGUCAAAAUACAUUGCCUCAUGAAUGUUGUGGUCUGUGGCCUUGCUGUCCAAGCUCUGUUACUGGUCUGCCAGGAGUUAAGUUCCGAAAUUGCAAGUAUACACUCAAACUUUCAUGGCAGUUUGAUGGAGUAAUUUAUGUUUGUGGGAAUCCAAUAAAAAACUCUGGAUGUGUACUUUGUUUUUAUAUUCAUUUUUAUUACGUCUUAUAAAUGUAUUCGAAAAUAUUUUUGGACUGAAAAUCAAUUUUUUUUUUUUUUUUUGAGACAGUCUUGCUCUGUCGCCCAGGCUGGAGUGGAGUGCUGCAAUAUUGGCUCACCACAGUCUCCACCUCCCAGGUUCAAGCAGUUCUCUGCUUCAGCCUCCCAAGUAGCUGGGAUUACAGGUGCCUGCCACCACGCCCAGCUAAGUUUUGUAUUUUUAGUAGAGACGGGGUUUCACCAUCUUAGCCAGGCUGGUCUUGAACUCCCGACCUCGUGAUCCACCCGCCUUGACCUCCCAAAGUGCUGGGAUUACAGGCAUGAGGCAUCGUGCCUGGCCAGAAAUUUUUUAAAAAGAAAAAACACUACUGUCCUUUACCCCAGAGGGUGGGACAAGCAGAGUCUAUGAUUUCUCUCUCACUUAAACCCUGAGGCUCCUCUGCAACGAAAAUUGUCCAGUGGGCUGCUGCUUUUUUUCCCCUUUAAUGCGUAAGUUUGUGCUUAAAUAUUAAACACUCCUAGGAGGUAAGGAAAGGAGUAUUAGAAGAAAACAAGUCCUUAUUCCUUUCAUCCUUGACACGGGCCAAGAGUACAUCUUUAUACUUCGGAAGCAUGGGAAAUUACCCCAAAUUGUCAGUGAAACCAGUAACUAUAACAAUAAAUAGGCAAAUAUAGAGGAUUUAAAAAGAUGAUUGCUGAUUACCAAAAAUUUGUGGCAAAACACUUAUUUUUAAGGAAUAGGGGAAUGAUAUACAUUUAGAUAUUCAUUUACAAAUACUUUAACAGCCAACUUUAGGCUCCGUUUUUAGCUCUAUCAUAAAGAACAGUGUUGUUCAGCCUUGGUCUUUGUGAGAAGAGAUUAGUCUGAUGGGUAGUUUCAAGCAAAUUUAGUAUUAUGUUGUAAGGUAAGAUGUUGAGACUAAGCCACAUGAGAAAAACAGCAAAAAUGAAAUAGUCAUCUCUCUUCAGAAAAGCUCUGGAAGGACAGUUAUUUCCUCUUCAAUUCUGAUGAAAGCUUUUUCCCCCACCCCUGGUUGUUUCUGCCAAGAAAAGAUUUCCUACCACCGUGGCUAGAAGCAGUAAUGAGACUCCUCCCUUAGGAUGCUGCCCUCUCUUACUCAGCAGCAAAGUCGAGUCCCAAAUUAAUUGACAGGAGGAGCCAGUGGUCUCUUCCAGGGUUUGUCACAAUGAACCAACCUUAGAUCCCCAUUGUAGGGAUCUCAUUCAUUAGAAAAUGUUUGAACUGGUUUCUAACAGCUGAUAAUGAUUUUUAUAGAGUAUGUUCUGAUGACUUUAAAAUAUGUCUGGAUCUAACGUUGUAUUUUUCAAUACAGAUGAAGUUUAAGCAGUUGGUCAUUUUAAAAAGACCAGAUUUGAGGAGUUGGAUGUGCAAAUUAAUUGAAUUAUACAAUGUGUGCAAUAUUAUUUUGAAUGGAAAGUUGGAUGUUAUAAAACUGAAAAUAAAGAAAAAAUAUAAUCUUUUUA